GCCUGGCUGGCUCAGCUGGUAGAGCACGUGACUCUUGAUCUCGGCGUUGUGAGUUCAAGCCCCAUGCCGGGCA
rnacentral:tRNA from 1 species